UUUAAAUGUUUAUGUAACCAACGUUUAACCGUUCAUCUUAUUUAAAAACAUUUUUAUGAUUAGUAUAUUUUUGUUGUUAUUAGAUGAUAAAAAAUAAAUAGUACUUUAUACGUGACUUAUUUUUUAAAAAUUGUUUUAAUUUUUUUUAAAUAAAACGGAUGGUCAAAUAUUAGGUACGGAAAUCCACGACUGUACUUAAA
rfam:Oryza meridionalis cultivar OR44 (W2112) chromosome 2, whole genome shotgun sequence.